rnacentral:lncRNA from 1 species
GCCACAUCUUCUAAUGCUUCUAAUGCUAUGUGAAUGCACUAGAAUCAGUUUGAAGAAAAGAGAAAAGAAAAAGAGGAUCAAUUAUGGAAAAGCUUGUAUAGAGGGAAGAAAAGGAAGUAUAAACUACAGCCUGGCAAACCAUUCAUAAUGAACUAAUAAAGUGGAUGAGAAGUACAUGCUUAAAAAAAAAAAAAGCGGAGGCUAAAUGCAGAAAGUAUCCAUAAGAUUGGAACUAACCUCAGCUGCAGGGAAAAGCAUUUCCAGGUAUUAUGUUCAACAUUUCUCUGCUGAGCAUGGAGAGAGAACAACCUUCAGGGCUCCUCCUAACCUACUGAGCUUCUGGUCCAUUCUGACCCCACGGAGCCCACUAGGAGCUGGGAGGGGCUGAGUGGACACCAUGAAGGAUUCCGCAAGUUCUGGAGCCUGAAACACUCACCAGUUCCCGUCCUGCGAUGCCGUCCACGUUCCCACACUCCAGGACCUGCUAGGCAC